ensembl:lncRNA
CCCGCCCGCUCUCGGCGGCAGCCCCGCCCCCGCCGCAUUCACGCCCCUCACCGUCCCGGGCCGGGGGGCGGCGGGCCGCGAGGCAGGCCGGCGGGGGCGUGGCUUCGCCUGUCACUGGCGCUGGGGCGCGGGGCGCGGAAGAGGCCGCGGCAGGGCUGCCGGGAAGGGGGCGGCGGGCGACGCGCAAACUUUACUAGGAGUUUGGCACUUGGCGGCGAGCUGCUGUGCCGUGCUGCAGGCCGGCCAGGAGGUCCCGGAAGAAGGCCUGCUUCACUGAAGACCGUCCCGGGGCCGGACGGGCCGCGGAACCGCCGCCUCGCAGACUGGGGCACAACUGACAGCUCCUCCAUACCCCCCAGCCUUACUCGUCACUCCGCCCCGCAGUGCGGUAUAAGUAGUGUCCGGCACAAAACUGGCAACUCCCAGAGCCAAUCCACUUCCUGGCCUUACCUCUAUGGCCAAUGAGGAUGAAGGAGAGGCAUGGCGACGACGGCUCCCAGAUUUAGGGUUUCCGAGGAGCCGGAGCGGAGCCGUUGCCUAGACUACGGGCUGAGCCGCCCCUUCCGGCCUAGGCCCCGCCCUGGGCGUGGCCAUGCGGGGGAGGGGGGCCGCUGCCGCCUUUUGUCCUGUGCGGGCCGCGGUCCAGCUUGGACGGCUGUCGCUGUCCGAGAGCCGCCUCGGGCGCGGCGCCCGGGCAGCGCCUUCAGCCAAGUGUGGCGGCGGGCUUUCUCGGGAGCCAGCCGCUGACACUGCCCCGCUGGCCGUGCCGGAGCGUCGCCGCAACCAGGCGGCCCGCUCUUCCGCCUGGGACCUCCAGGAUUCCCCAGCUGCGGAACGAGACGCGGGGACUUCGCCGUUUAAGCGGCACUGCGACCUCCGAAGCCACCAGCAGUUCCACAAGUCCUGAGCGAUCCCGUGAAUCUGUAGUUUAUAGAAUCGUGCAUUCGCCACCAGGGCGCGCACUGCAGAGACCCGCGCGGGUGUUUUGUGAAGGGGGUGUCGGCGCCGCCCCACGCGCUCCCGCGGCCGUGUUUGGAGCCAGAGCGCUCAGGUUGGAGCGUGGCUGCGGCGCUAAAGGACAAACUCAUUUUGCUUCGAAGUCCUGGAUUACCAUCUUCGCUCUGGAAACCGCUCACCCUCUGCUGCCCGGAGAAUUGGUUAUUUUACCAGUUCACACUUCUUCCAGUCUGGGCCCAAGAGAGAGCAAAUGAAAAUUAGUCAACUUUCACUUUUACAAGAAAAUAUUGGCCACCAGUCUGCACAAAAACACUAUGACAUAUGGAAACAAAAACGAAGUCUGUAGAGAGCUACAAGGUUGAAUUUUUAAAAAUCAUGCCUUUUUUCGCAAAGAGCAUAUAAGUACUUUAAAACUACACCAAGAAAGACUUUUAAUUCUGACAUUCACUGGGGGAAUGAACAGCGUUUAUCUGGGGUCACAAACAAGUGUUGGAGCCGGCCAUGGUGGUGCUCUCCUGUAAUCCCACCACUCGGGAGACUGAGGCAGGAGGAUUGCCGUGAGUUCGAGGCCAACCUGGGCUGCAUAGUGAGUUCAAGGCCAGGCUUAACUACAUAGGGGCCCUGUGUCACAAAAUUAAAAAUAAAAAAGAAUAAAUGUUAGAAAUAAUUUACCCCUUCCAAUAAAUAAUCAAGCUGGAGUUUGACCUAUGUUAAUUUCAAAAAGUCAGGAUGCUACCUGAAUGAUUAUUUUGCCCUUCUCUUGUUCACGGACUUCACAGACACAUAAACCAGAGAGGUGUCUUGCUAUUCAGGUAGAAGUGCUGGACUGUGCCAGCUCCACAGCGAGUGCCACUGUCUUAUAUGCCAGGAGCUCAGUGGUGAACGAACGGUUGCCUCCAUAGAACAUGGCACCCUUGGGCUAAAAAGUCAAAAGUAUUUUAUUUUUUAUUGGCUUUACAAAGUGGUUUCCUGCAUAAACUUAGAACACUAAUAAAUGAAAUAUAACACUUAUUAUGUCUUUUAAAUAUGCCACUAAGGACAAAUAUUUAAUUUUGAAAAUAAAUUGGAAAUCUUGACUUUCAGGCUUGCUCUUUGUAGUGUACACCAAAAAUAGAUAUUAAAACUUUUAGGCCAGGGAUUUAGCUCAGUGGUUCUACCACCUGCCAUGCAAGCGCAAGGACCCAAGUUUGAUCCCCAGUACAGGAAAAAAAAAACAACUUUUAGCUAAAGGAACACUUGGGAGUAGGGAUGCAGCUUGGUGGUGGAACAUGUUCCUGGCAUGCAGCAGUCCCUGGGUUCAAUCCCCAGCAGCAAGCAAUCAAUCUAAAAGUGUUUCUGGUUUAACUAGAGAUGCUCAAACCUGUUGGAAUAAAACACAAGGGAUGAACACACAACUCUUUGUUUUGAAUGCUUACAAAAUAAAUACUAGCUUCAUCUGAAACUUGAAAUGCUGUAAACAUUAUGUUGCUGUAAUCUAUUUUACUUUGGAUUUACAAGAUUUUGCCUCAGAAGAAAAUGUCACCCUGAAAACUACAGUUUGUUGUCAUAAAAGACUGAAAAUGGC